GGUGGGAGGCUUUGAAGCGUGGACGCCAGUCUGCGUGGAGCCGACCUUGAAAUACCACCCUUUAAUGUUUGAUGUUCUAACGUGGAUCCGUAAUCCGGGUUGCGGACAGUGUCUGGUGGGUAGUUUGACUGGGGCGGUCUCCUCCUAAAGAGUAACGGAGGAGCACGAAGGUUGGCUAAUCCUGGUCGGACAUCAGGAGGUUAGUGCAAUGGCAUAAGCCAGCUUGACUGCGAGCGUGACGGCGCGAGCAGGUGCGAAAGCAGGUCAUAGUGAUCCGGUGGUUCUGAAUGGAAGGGCCAUCGCUCAACGGAUAAAAGGUACUCCGGGGAUAACAGGCUGAUACCGCCCAAGAGUUCAUAUCGACGGCGGUGUUUGGCACCUCGAUGUCGGCUCAUCACAUCCUGGGGCUGAAGUAGGUCCCAAGGGUAUGGCUGUUCGCCAUUUAAAGUGGUACGCGAGCUGGGUUUAGAACGUCGUGAGACAGUUCGGUCCCUAUCUGCCGUGGGCGCUGGAGAACUGAGGGGGGCUGCUCCUAGUACGAGAGGACCGGAGUGGACGCAUCACUGGUGUUCGGGUUGUCAUGCCAAUGGCACUGCCCGGUAGCUAAAUGCGGAAGAGAUAAGUGCUGAAAGCAUCUAAGCACGAAACUUGCCCCGA
rnacentral:rRNA from 2 species